rnacentral:rRNA from 1 species
ACCAGACUCCUACGGGAGGCAGCAGUGGGGAAUAUUGCACAAUGGGGGAAACCCUGAUGCAGCGACGCCGCGUGAGUGAAGAAGUAUUUCGGUAUGUAAAGCUCUAUCAGCAGGGAAGAUAAUGACGGUACCUGACUAAGAAGCCCCGGCUAACUACGUGCCAGCAGCCGCGGUAAUACGUAGGGGGCAAGCGUUAUCCGGAUUUACUGGGUGUAAAGGGUGCGCAGGUGGCAGGGCAAGUCAGAUGUGAAAGCCCGGGGCUCAACCCCGGUAUUGCAUUUGAAACUGUCCGGCUAGAGUGCAGGAGAGGUAAGCGGAAUUCCUAGUGUAGCGGUGAAAUGCGUAGAUAUUAGGAGGAACACCAGUGGCGAAGGCGGCUUACUGGACUGUAACUGACGUUGAGGCUCGAAGGCGUGGGGAGCAAACAGGAUUAGAUACCCUAGUA